rnacentral:lncRNA from 1 species
GUGGUGCUCUGUCAGUAGAAGCCAUACCGUCCUGGGUUGGUGACAGGGAUUCCAUUUUGCCCCUUGCACUGCAAGGCAGAGGCCUUGAGUCCCAGCUCCCGUCAUCCACAGGGUUGUGAAGGGAAGGAACAGGGUGCUUGGGCCCUGCCCUGCAGAUGGGAUCCAGAGAGGUGAUGCGUUCAGGGCAUUCAACCUGAGUCAAGGGGCUUCCAGGGACACGAGCCCCUUUGAAGUUGAGGACUCUGCAGGCGGAAGACAGAGCUGGGAGGGCCUCCCUGUCGGCCUUCCGUCUCACACAGCCGGAUCCAAAGUCUAUCCCAACCUCAUCUGUGGCAAGACAGAGCCUCAGGCUGGUUCAGUCCCACAGCAGCUGCUCAGCAAGUAUGAGUGAGUGUCUGUCUACGCCUCUCCGUGUGCAGGAGACAGCACCUGACAUUGAGACCCCCCGCAGCAGGCCCCGUGCAGGGAUCUUCAUUUAUACUGGUUUAGGCUUCCUUCCUGGUAUUUGAGUCAUUUCCCAAGGUCUUUGCAGCAGCCAAGGAACUCACUACUCAAGGCGGCCUCCCAGUUCUGUUGCUUGUUCCUCCAGUAGCCUUCUACUCAGAGGCAGGCUGAAGCUGGGCAGAUUUGGGAGAAAAUAAGGUCUGAAGACAGGGCUCUGUACAGAGGCGGGGUUCCUGUAUGCUGUUGUCCUGGCUGCUCCUGCCCCUGGGUGGCAGUGGGCAGGUGCACCUCAAAAACUGCAGUAACAGCCUGUGUUUAUAAAUAAAGCUUUAUUGGGACACAGU